rnacentral:tRNA from 2 species
GGAUUGUUAGCUUAGUUGGUAGAGCAGCCGACUCUUAAUCGGCAGGUCCAGGGUUCGAGCCCCUGACAAUCCA